AUACGGAGGGGGCUAGCGUUGUUCGGAAUUACUGGGCGUAAAGCGCGUGUGGGCGGAUCGUUAAGUCAGGGGUGAAAGCCCGGGGCUCAACCCCGGAACUGCCCUUGAUACUGGCGAUCUAGAGUCCGGAAGAGGUGGGCGGAAUUCCCGGUGUAGAGGUGAAAUUCGUAGAUAUCGGGAGGAACACCAGUGGCGAAGGCGGCUCACUGGUCCGGUACUGACGCUGAGACGCGAAAGCGUGGGGAGCAAACAGGAUUAGAAACCCUAGUAGUCC
rnacentral:rRNA from 1 species